rnacentral:rRNA from 1 species
UGGGGAAUUUUGGACAAUGGGCGAAAGCCUGAUCCAGCAAUGCCGCGUGUGUGAAGAAGGCCUUCGGGUUGUAAAGCACUUUUGUCCGGAAAGAAAUCCUUGGCUCUAAUACAGUCGGGGGAUGACGGUACCGGAAGAAUAAGCACCGGCUAACUACGUGCCAGCAGCCGCGGUAAUACGUAGGGUGCAAGCGUUAAUCGGAAUUACUGGGCGUAAAGCGUGCGCAGGCGGUUUGCUAAGACCGAUGUGAAAUCCCCGGGCUCAACCUGGGAACUGCAUUGGUGACUGGCAGGCUAGAGUAUGGCAGAGGGGGGUAGAAUUCCACGUGUAGCGGUGAAAUGCGUAGAGAUGUGGAGGAAUACCGAUGGCGAAGGCAGCCCCCUGGGCCAAUACUGACGCUCAUGCACGAAAGCGUGGGGAGCAAACAGGAUUAGAUACCCUGGUAGUCCACGCCCUAAACGAUGUCAACUAGUUGUUGGGGAUUCAUUUCCUUAGUAACGUAGCUAACGCGUGAAGUUGACCGCCUGGGGAGUACGGUCGCAAGAUUAAAACUCAAAUGAAUUGACGGGGUCAUA